UAAAGAUUCGGUUUUCAAGUUGACUACUGGAAACACCAACCUAAUUUCUCCUGGGAAGCGUGACACAGGGGGCGUUGCAUUCCAGCACUGCCCGCAGACGUGAUGUACAAAUCUGCCUGAAGUUCGCUCCUGAGGGAUCUGCCUCAGCUCCCUCUAACCACCACCAAAACGCCAGUUUUAAGGAACACUACCCAACUCGGGAGAGGAGGAACACAUCUGUCCCUGGGAUCUUCUGGACAAGGAGGGAAACCCAGAGCACAACAAGUAGUGUCACUGCCUCUGUUGGCAUCAGAGAAGCAAACAGUCCUCAUUGUUUCCGUUUGUGGAUCAAAAGGCAGCGGACCGCGCAAGAGGAAAGAAGGUCUAGUAUUCAAACCAAUCAUCUGGAAGAGUCUGGAGAGAGUGGCAUUGUUUUGGGAAGUGGAUGGAAAAUAAGAAGAUACCAUGGUUGGUCACUGGCUCUCAGUGAGCAACAUGAAAGCUAGGUGACCAGUGGAAGCGAUGGGGCCAUAGAGAAGGAGGGCAAGUGGACAGCCAGAGACCAAAGUCACAGUGAGAGGACUGUAGGACUAAAGAAACAUACAUGUCUUACAUGGCCUCUUUUCCAAAGGGAAUGUACCUGGUCCUAACACAGGAUGUUGCAUGUAAGAAAGAGAAUGUGACAAAGAGAAACCAAUGAAAAGAUCAAGGCUGAUUUUGUCAGGAGAAGAAUUUUACACGGAAUGAGCCCAUGAUCCAAGUGAUUUGACUUUCUACGAACAGCUGGACAAAGUGAGACAAAAAUGUGUUCGUCGCACGAAAGCAGAAGAUGAAUUUCAUCCCGAGAGCUCAGCCAUGAUUUAUGAUGCCAAUUAUUUUUGUUUGCUUUUUGCUUUGGUUCUUCUGUUUUUCUCUCAUUCACCCACAGCCAACUUUGUCAUUUAUGCCAGGCUAUCUCUCAUGACAGUCACAGCUUUCCAAAGACCACCUAUAAGUUACCUCCCCACCCUCGAAAGAUU
rnacentral:lncRNA from 1 species